GUAAGUUUUUCUAUUUGUUCAGCAUCACUCUACUCUCUUUUCUAUUGUAUUAACUUAAUGCUUAAAAAAAAAAAAAAGGACUAACCUACUGUUCUUCACAACUGAAUUCCAUUUAAAAAUCAACGUAUCUUGCCAUUCAUAUACCUCUUCUACAAGUAGAACCAUAAACCGUCUCACCAGAAAACAAAUUUAGGCCUAGAAUAAAGACAAGAACCCAACCUUUCCCUUCACUUAUGUAUUGAAAUCAUACUAUACUGAUGACCAAUAUGGAAGAAGAGACUCAGGCUGGUGCUUGCAGAAGAUAAAAGAGAAAGCCAUUGGUUAACAAGACAGUAGAGUACUUGCCUAAUCAUAGUUAUACAGUAAAACACUUCUGUACUGUGACUUUAAAGGAUUAAAACAGGAGCUUAACAAAGGAUCUCUGCCUUAUCCAGUGACACAGGUGGUUACACCCGUGCUAGUGGAUGCAAGAUUCAAUGUCUGUCUUCAUUCUUCCAGACUUCUUGUUUCUGUCUGUUCCAUGGUUCUUCUUCAAAUUAACUCUCAUCCUCAAUGGGAUCAACGCUUCUCAGGAAGAGCUUCCACAAGUGCAAGAUCACAUUGAAAUGGAAGAAGGGUGUCUCUUGUUCCCAGGUUUCAUCCAGUUUGGUAAAAUUGCUGGAUCUACUCCUACUGCAAGCAGACAAAGUUAUCCAUUUUCCUUCUCCUUCAGUCAUACUGUCAUAUACCUGCAUGUAAGUUAUGUCACUGUACCUUGUCUAGACUUAUUAGUUAAAUAAAUAAAUAAAUAAAAUGGUUAUGGGUAAGGUGAAUGGUAA
rnacentral:lncRNA from 1 species